ACGGGGCGCAGCAGGCGCGAAAACUUUACAAGGCUGGCAACAGCGAUAAGGGGACCUCGAGUGCCAGGUUACAAAACUGGCUGUCGAGAUGCCUAAAAAGCAUUUCAUAGCAAGGGACGGGCAAGCCCGGUGCCAGCCGCCGGGGUAACACCGGCGGCUCGAGUGGUA
rnacentral:rRNA from 1 species